rnacentral:misc_RNA from 1 species
AACCUAGCACACCUGCGGUGUGUACCUGCGGAAGGAUCAUUACCGAGUGAGGGCCCUCCGGGUCCAACCUCCCACCCGUGUUUAACGAACCUUGUUGCUUCGGCGGGCCCGCCUCACGGCCGCCGGGGGGCACUCCGCCCCCGGGCCCGCGCCCGCCGAAGACACCUGUGAACGCUGUCUGAAGUUGCAGUCUGAGACACUAGCUCAAUCAGUUAAAACUUUUAACAACGGAUCUCAGAU